rnacentral:rRNA from 1 species
UCCAAUCGAACCCGGAGAUAGCUGGUUCUCCCCGAAAUAGCUUUAGGGCUAGCGUCGGAAAGAACCUUAGUGAAGGUAGAGCACUGAAUGUGUGAUGGCCCCAUCCCGGGGUACUGAAUACAAUCAAACUGCGAAUGUCAUUAAGGAUGUCCGGCAGUCAGACUGUGAGUGAUAAGGUCCAUGGUCAAGAGGGAAACAGCCCAGACCGCCAGUUAAGGUCCCAAAAUACAGGCUAAGUGGAAAAGGAUGUGGGGAUGCCCAGACAACUAGGAGGUUGGCUCAGAAGCAGCCAUCCUUUAAAGAGUGCGUAACAGCUCACUAGUCGAGUGACCCUGCGCCGAAAAUGUACCGGGGCUAAGCCUGAUACCGAAACUGCGGAUUGUAGGAAACUAUAGUGGUAGGGGAGCGUUGUAUACGAGUGGAAGCCGUACCGUGAGGAGCGGUGGAUUGUAUAGAAGUGAGAAUGCCGGUGUGAGUAGCGAGAUGUAGGUGAGAAUCCUACACACCGAAAGCCCAAGGAUUCCAGGGGAAGGUUCGUCCGCCCUGGGUAAGUCGGGACCUAACGCGAGGCCGAAAGGCGUAGUGGAUGGAAAGCAGGCGAAAGAUUCCUGCACCCGUAUAUGGAGCGAAGGAGUGACGGAGACGGAUAGUGUGACCCUCUUAAUGGAUUGAGGGCGAAGCGAAGCGGCUGGUUACCAGGCAAAUCCGGUAACCAUAAGGCUAGAGCGUGAGAGGUAAGCGAAAUCUUAGGAGAGUAGCGAAGCACAUGAUGACGGCUUCCAGGAAAAGCUUCUGGCAAUGCAUAUGCGGCCCGUACCAAAACCGACACAGGUGGGCAGGGAGAGAAUCCCGAGGUGAGCGAGAGAACUGUUGCCAAGGAACUCGGCAAAAUGACUCCGUAAGUUAGCGAGAAGGAGUGCUUAAGCAAUUAAGCCGCAGUGAAGAGGCCCAAGCGACUGUUUAACUAAAACACAGCUCUCUGCGAAGUCGCAAGACGAAGUAUAGGGGGUGACACCUGCCCGGUGCUGGAAGGUUAAGAGGAUCUGUUAAGAGCGAUCUGAAGCAGUGAUCCGAAGCCCCAGUGAACGGCGGCCGUAACUAUAACGGUCCUAAGGUAGCGAAAUUCCUUGUCAGGUAAGUUCUGACCCGCACGAAAGGUGUAACGAUUUGGGCGCUGUCUCGGCAGCAGACUCGGUGAAAUCUUAGUACCUGUGAAAAUGCAGGUUACCCGCAACUAGACGGAAAGACCCCAUGGAGCUUUACUGCAGCCUGAUAUUGAAUUCUGGUCAUACAUGUACAGGAUAGGUGGGAGACAAAGAGACGUGCACGCCAGUGUACGAGGAGUCGACGUUGGGAUACCACUCUUGUGUGACCGGGGUUCUAACCUGGUAUCGAAAACAGGUACGGGGAGAGUGUCAGGUGGGCAGUUUGACUGGGGCGGUCGCCUCCCAAAGAGUAACGGAGGCGCCCAAAGGUACGCUCAGAUUGGAUGGAAACCAAUCGUCGAGUGCAAUUGCAGAAGCGUGCUUGACUGUGAGACUUACAAGUCGAACAGGGACGAAAGUCGGGAAUAGUGAUCCGGCGGUGCCGAAUGGAAGGGCCGUCGCUCAACGGAUAAAAGCUACCCUGGGGAUAACAGGCUGAUCUCGCCCAAGAGUUCACAUCGACGGCGAGGUUUGGCACCUCGAUGUCGGCUCAUCGCAUCCUGGAGCUGGAUUCGGUUCCAAGGGUUGGGCUGUCCGCCCAUUAAAGCGGUACGCGAGCUGGGUUCAGAACGUCGUGAGACAGUUCGGUCCCUAUCUGUUGUGGGCGAAGGAGAUCUGCGGAGAGCUGUCCUCAGUACGAGAGGACCGGGAUGGACCUACCGCUGGUGCACCGGUUGUUCCGCCAGGGGCAUAGCCGGGUAGCUAAGUAGGGAAAGGAUAAGCGCUGAAAGCAUCUAAGCACGAAGCCUACUCCAAGAUGAGAUCUCCCAUUCGCAAGAAGUAAGACCCCUUAAAGACGAUAAGGUAGAUAGGCCAGAGAUGGAAGUGCAGUGAUGUACGGAGUUGACUGGUACUAAUCGGUCGAGGACUUAAUCAG